rnacentral:rRNA from 1 species
GAUGAACGCUGGCGGCGUGCUUAACACAUGCAAGUCGAGCGAACAGACGAGGCGCUUGCUCCUUUGACGUUAGCGGCGGACGGGUGAGUAACACGUGGAUAACCUACCUAUAUGACUGGGAACACUUCGGGAAUCCGGAGCUAACACCGGAUAAUAUCUUGAACCGCAUGGUUCAAUAGUGAAAGACGGUUUUGCUGUCACUUAUAGAUGGAUAUGGGCCGGUUUAGCUAGUUGGUAGGGUAAAGGCUUACCAAGGGGAGUAUGCGUAGCCGACGUGCGAGGGUGGUCGGCCACACUGGAGCUGAACCACGGACCUGGCUCCUACGGGAGGCAGCAGAAGGGUAUCGUCCGCAGUAGGCGAGAGCAUGGCGGAACAGGGCGACGUGUGUUAUAGAGGUGUUGGGUUCGUGAAGCUGUGUUAUUAGGUAAGAACAGAUGUGUAAGGAAAUGAGGACGGCUUGACGGUACCGGAUAAAGAAGCAACGGCUAACUACGUG